rnacentral:rRNA from 1 species
UACGUAGGGGGCUAGCGUUGUCCGGAUUUAUUGGGCGUAAAGAGCGUGUAGGCGGCCAGGUAGGUCCGCUGUGAAAGGUCGAGGCUCAACCUCGAGAAGUCGGUGGAAACCAUCUGGCUCGAGUCCGGAAGAGGAGAGUGGAAUUCCCGGUGUAGCGGUGAAAUGCGCAGAUAUCGGGAAGAACACCCGUGGCGAAGGCGGCUCUCUGGGACGGUACUGACGCUGAGACGCGAAAGCGUGGGGAGCGAACAGG